GUCAUGACUAGUGAGAUCGUUUUAUAAAUCAUUUCAUCAAAGUCAGUUGUAAAAAAAUUAAAGAAGUUACUUGAACUAAAGCAUCUAUAAUAUUACAAUAUACCGGUAGUAUAAUAGUAAUCAUAAUAAUCAUAAUCGCAAUGAUACUUCUAUAUGCCUUUAAACCUUGUUUUUAUAAUCAUAAAUCUUCCUCUUCCACACACACACACACACACACACACACACACACACACAGGCGUGCGCACACACACACGCACGCACACACAGUCCCACAACCCUCCUCAAUUAGGUUGCAAAGCUGGGCCCCCCCCAUUGUCCUCGUAACAUCAAUGGUUUCAGACGCACUACGAGACACAGAAAGAAGAAGGAAACAUGAACUGAAGAUACACGAGAGAACCUGGAAGCAGAGACCACCGCUGGAACAAUGGGGAACUGAUCCACAACUCAAACAGGAAAUGGGCUUCUGCAUAGAUCCACGGGGGGGGGGGGCAGAACCACGGGGAGGGCGGGUGGAGGAGGAGGUGGAGGAGGUGGAGGAGAACCUGCUUGUUCCACACCGGCUCCCCAGCGAGAGGCUUCACCCGUCGCUCACACAGGAGGGGAGAGGAGGCGGGACACAGGAAGUCCGGUUCUGCAGGGCUCUGCGAGACGUCACCCGGCAGGCUACCGGUCGGACGCCAGGUCUGACCCCUGACGCCGUCUCCUCCCUCAGCGGGAGAAGGAGAGGAGGGGGAGGGAGGAGGGAGCAGGCUGGAGAGGAGGAGGAGGAGGAGGAGGGAGCAGGCUGGAGAGGAGGAAGGAGGAGGAGGGAGCAGGCUGGAGAGGAGGAGGAGGAGGAGGGAGCAGGCUGGGGGGAGCGUCAGGGAGCAGUGAAGGCUGUGGAGGCCCGCUGCCGGGCCGGUCAGCCUCACAUGGACCAGCGAGCCCCAGCGCUGGUCUGGGACGCAGCGCCGGGGCCAAGAGCCACGUUGGAGCGACACUGGAUGGGGGGGACACCAGCAUGCUGAACCUACUCUGCCCGUGGUGGGCACACUGCGCUGCAUGCAGUACAGGUGUGUGUGUUCACUGAGUGGGGGGGGGGGACAAGAGACCUCCAAUCCCUUACUGGGAUGGAGAGCUGGCCUGACGGUCCGGCUCUUGAUGGUCUGGUCUACUCCCAACAGUCGGGUUAUAUGUCUCAUCCAGACUGGUUCAAACCAGCUGGUAUUUAGGACACAGGUUGGGUAAGGGUUCAUAAACGUAUUGCGGACAAGCACGCUCUCCAUGUGCACACAAAAAUAUUGCAAUGAUUGCUUUUUAAAGUUAAAAAAUACAGUUUAGUUUUUAUAGUUCUGUUUGUCCUGAUUGUGGUUCUAUACUAGUCUCUCUCUCUCUCUCUCUCUCUCUCUCUCUCUCUCUCUCUCUCUCUCUCUCUCUCUCUCUCUCUCUCUCUCUCUCUCUCUCUCAU
ensembl:lncRNA